rnacentral:rRNA from 1 species
AUUGAACGCUGGCGGCAUGCCUUACACAUGCAAGUCGAACGGCAGCACGGGAGCAAUCCUGGUGGCGAGUGGCGAACGGGUGAGUAAAGUAUCGGAACGUGCCCAGUCGUGGGGGAUAACGUAGCGAAUGUUACGCUAAUACCGCAUACGAUCUAUGGAUGAAAGCGGGGGAUCGCAAGACCUCGCGCGAUUGGAGCGGCCGAUAUCAGAUUAGGUAGUUGGUGGGGUAAAGGCUCACCAAGCAGACGAUCUGUAGCUGGUCUGAGAGGACGCCAAGGCACACUGGGACUGAGACAGGGCCCAGACUCCUGCGGGAGGCAGCAGUGGGGAAUUUUGGACAAUGGGCGCAAGCCUGAUCCAGCCAUGCCGCGUGCAGAAUGAAGGCCUUCGGGUUGUAAACUGCUUUUGUACGGAACGAAAAGGUUUGGCUUAAUACGCUGAACUCAUGACGGUACCGUAAGAAUAAGCACCGGCUAACUACGUGCCAGCCGCCGCCGUAA